AGGACGAUACAUUAAAUGAAGUUAAGUUGAGCUUUGAUCGUGAAGGGACAGUAAUUAACUUCUCCCUCAAUAAAGAGAACAGAAAGCAGUAUAUUCAAGAAAUGGUUCUUUUGAGACAGACAGGGCUUGUCAUAGGUGCUGGGGGGUUAUUUGACAAUUUUAAAGGAUUUAUAGACGAGAUAAGAGUACAACAUUGCGAUGGUGACCCACCUAUUGAUGUCUGAAGAUUGUGAUCAUCUGUGAAUAUCACCAUAAUUAAAGAUUAGAAAAAUGUCAGACAAAGUGUGGAAUUUGUU